rnacentral:rRNA from 1 species
AAACAUGUCUUAGAGAUUAUAAUUCUAAGUCUAAUCUGCUCCAUGAUUUAUAUUAAAUAGCUGCAGUAAUUUAACUGUACAAAGGUAGCAUAAUCAAUAGUUUUUUAAUUGAAAGCUGGAAUGAAUGAUUUAAUAAAAUAAAUAUUGUCUCAAAUUUAAGGAAAGUAGAAUUUUAUUUUUAGUAAAAAUUCUAAAAUAAAUUUAAAAGACGAGAAGACCCUAUAGAAUUUUAUAUUUAAAUUAUAAUUAAUUAAAGUUUUUAUAAUUAAAAUAUUAGGUUGGGGAAAUUAUUAAAUGAAAAAAAUUUUAAUUUUUAAUAAACAAUAAUUUUUGGUAAAUUGAUUUAUAAUAAUAAAUUUAAGAAUAAAUUACCUUAGGGAUAACAGCGUAAUUUUUUUAGAGAGAUCAUAUUAAUAAAAAAGUUUGCGACCUCGAUGUUGAAUUAAGAUAAAAUUUAAAUGUAGAAGUUUAAAAUUUUUGGUCUGUUCGACCAUUAAAAUCUUACAUGAUCUGAGUUCAAACCGGAGA